UACGUAGGGUGCAAGCGUUAAUCGGAAUUACUGGGCGUAAAGCGUGCGCAGGCGGUUUUGUAAGACUGUCGUGAAAUCCCCGGGCUUAACCUGGGAAUGGCGAUGGUGACUGCAAGGCUAGAGUUUGGCAGAGGGGGGUAGAAUUCCACGUGUAGCAGUGAAAUGCGUAGAGAUGUGGAGGAACACCGAUUGCGAAGGCAAUCCCCUGGGCCUGCACUGACGCUCAUGCACGAAAGCGUGGGGAGCAAACAGG
rnacentral:rRNA from 1 species